GAAAGCUACAUUAUGAAUGAAAAUAUCCACAUUUCAAACACUUUGAAAGUGGAAGUUGCUUCUAAGGUGAUUUUUGCUGCUUUGAAAAAAAAAGAGGUUUAAAUACAGUUUUAUAAUCAUUUCUUACGUAUCUGUUGAUUAAGCAUAACAUUCACAUGAACAUACAAAAUAACAUACACAAGAAAAACAAAAUUUAGAAUAACAUUUUGUAUUGUAGUAUGUGUGAAAUAAUUUGUUUUUUUUCCACUAUAUCCCUGGGUCAAAGUUUAUAGCAUUUACUUUAACCAGCUAUCUUUCUCAUUUUCAUAAGGGUCCCACGAGGCAAUAGUCAUACAUUGUUACUUCAGCCUUCACAAAGGCAAAACAGUACAGAUCCCUGUACUGUAGUAGACAACACAGAACAGUCCCAAUUUCAGUUCCUGUUACAUUGACAAGACUCCUUCAGAACUAAACAAAUCGCGUGGCUUUAAAAGAUUCUGAUCGCCUGGGGGUUGGAGAGGAUGGAGUGUCUUCUCUGUCUCCCGCGUCCACUUCCUCUCCCUCCAGCUGCCUGUUUUUGUCUGGAGAUGGUUAUAAAAUGGAUUUUCGAACUGUUGGGUUGAGGAAGGAACUAAGAAGGAACCUGGAAGGCUCAAAUCAGCACCCACCGAAGUGUUAGGAGUCCCGCGGGCCGCAUCCGAGGCGGGCCCGGCGUGUGCUUCGCGAAGUCCGGCGAGGCUGCCGCAGGCGUGGAUGAGACAGCCUGCCGAGAGCUUUGAAUUGCGAGAGCAGCGCUUCAGGAUCUGUUUGCAUUAA